rnacentral:rRNA from 1 species
ACGGGGUGCAGCAGGCGCGAAACCUCUACAAUGCACGAAAGUGUGAUAGGGGGAUUCCACGUGCAAGCUUUGCUUGCUUUUCUCAAGUCUAAACCGCUUGGGGAAUAAGGGCUGGGCAAGACCCGUGCCAGCCGCCGCGGUAACACGGGCAGCUCAAGUGGCGUUCGCGUAUAUUGGGCCUAAAGCGUGCGUAGCCUGUCAGGUAAGUUCUUGGUGAAAGCUUGCGACUUAAUCGUGAGAAUUGCCAGGAAAACUGCCCGACUUGGGACCGGAAGAGGUCGGAGGUAUUUCUUGGGUAGGGGUAAAAUCCUGUAAUCCUUGAAGGACCAUCGGUGGCGAAGGCGUCCGACUGGGACGGGUCCGACGGUGAGGCACGAAAGCUAGGGGAGCGACCCGGAUUAGAUACCCGGUUAGUCCUAGCCGUAAAUGAUGUCUGUUUGGUAUUGCGUGGCUUACGAGGCCCCGCAGUGCCGUAGGGAAGCCGUUAAACAGACCGCCUGGGAGUA